UUUUGAGCUAACUGGUCUCAACCUACAAUAAACAUAGGGGCCAAAACACAGAGGCCAUCUUUGGCUCAUUUAUGUAACCAUUCAUCCCUUGAAGAACAUCUGGGUUGUUUCCAGUGGGCAAUUAUAAACAGAGCCUCUAUCAACAUUCCUGUACCAGUUUUAGAAUGAACAUAAAUUUAUAUUUCUCUAAGUACUCAGGAGUAGAAUUGACGUUCUGUCAUAUGGAUAGCCACUGAGCAAGCCUGUAAGGCUAUUGGUCUGCCCAUUCUGGUUUCUUCACCAAUGAGAAAACUGGGACCUGGGGAGUUUGCAGAAGCCAUCCAAGGGCACCUGCUUCUCACAGCACAGCAGCUUCCUGCAGCCCUCCCUCCUGUCUUGUUUCUCCCUUAAUUGAGAGGAGAGGCCAGAACCAGAUGCAGGCAGUUCCAACAGUAAUGAAUUGCUCUAAGGUGUGGAUCCAAGAACCGGUGACAAGGUCAGGAAAUUCCAUCCCGGGACACUGACCCAACUAAGAGACUGUGCAUGAUGGCUAAGUUCAGAGCUCUGAGGAGAUGGUAAAACUCAUUUGCAACGAAACAAGAUAUUUUCCAACUCUGCAGCCAGAAACCAUCCUCCUGGCUGUCUCACCAUCAGCGCCACCUCUCCGUGGGUCUGGAGUCUUGAGGAGCCAGGACUGGACUGGGAUGUAAGGUUGGGUCUUCCGAGCUGUAGAUGGGAGCAGGAAGAUGUAUCUCCAUUCACGAUCUCAGUACAAGGCUCAGCUAUCUCCCGGCAACUCGCCCAUCAUCUGUUUCUGAGUUCUUCUGACAUACAGGUUCUUUGGAGGCGGCAUCAAGAAAAUACAUUUGGACAAAUCCUUCAUCUCAAAUAUUUUCCCCUCAUGAAACCAAAGGCAUUGCUCCAAAGUCAUUUCCAUUAAUUAGACAUGCAUCUUGUAUGACUGAAGGAGAAUCUAGUCCACAAACUCUGGGUUAAUUUUCUCUUCUGACAUCUGUGUGUAGUGUUUCUCUGAGGAGCUGAAUUAUCUGCUCUCCAGUGCCUUCCUCUCGGUGUUUUUUGGCCAGGAGCAAGGAGACAGGCAGCUGCAUUCUGGGAGCAGCAAGCAAUUCUGAGAACUGGAGCUGCUUAGGUUCUUUCACUUCUGCUUCAAAGGAAUACGUUGAGUUUGCAGAGAAUGAAGGAGAGAAAGACUCCAAGUUCCAAGCAGGGUCUUGGGGUAGUCUCUGAGCAUCCCAAUGUACUUACUUCCUCCCCACAGCUUCCUCACUGGGCUCCCAGCCACCAGUAUUUGUCUCUUUAAUCCCCCAACACAGAGCUACUAGAUGGAUUUCUUUCUUUCUUUUUUGUUUCUUUCUUUCGAUCGAUUUCUCUUUCUUUCUUUCUUUCUCUUUCCUUCUUUCUUUUCUUUCCUUUUCUUUUCUUUCUUUCUUUUUCUUUCUUUUACAUCUUCCUUCCUUCCUUGCUUCCUUUCUCUCUCUUUUUCUUUCUUUUAUGGUUUUUUUUUUGUUGUUGUUGUUGUUGUUUUUAGACAGUCUUGCUCUGUCACCCAGGCUGGAGUGCAGUGGUGCAAUCUCGGCUCACUGAAGUCUCAACCUCCUAGGCUCAAACAGUCCUCCAACUUCAGCCUCCCAAGUAGCUGAGACUACAGAUCAGCAAUCUGGCUAAUUAAAAAAAAAUUUUUUUUAGAGAUGGGGUCUUACUAUGUUGCCCAGUCUGGUCUUGAACUCCUAGCCUCAAACAGUCAUCCUCCCUUAGCCUCCUAAAGUGCCGUGAUUAUAGGCGUGAGCCACCAUGCCCAGCUGGAUUUUUUCUUUUAACUGUAGUUUUAUCAUGUUCUUUUUGCUUAAAAUAAACUUUUCUGAAGUAAAUUCUGGACUCUGCAAGGUCUUUGUUCUAUUUGUUAUGGUGUUUGGGCAAGCCCUCUGUUUUCCUGUCCAGAGCAGGCCUGGGACCUUUGCCUUCGGUGGCUUUCCUGGGAUCCCCCACUACCCAGAAGAGCAGGGCUAUUGCCUCUGCUCGUCCCCAGAUCCCAACCCUCCAUGGGCCUGCCCUGGAUCCUUGCUGUUGGAGGGGAGGCACAACUUCACCUCUACCCUCAUAGGGAUUUUUGGCUGCACCUGC
rnacentral:lncRNA from 1 species